AUGCUAACCCUCUUUAUGGCCAUUUCUACCUUUGUAUCUCCUUAUUGUUAUGGAAUUUGUGAAUUAUUAUUGGCCUUUAGCUAUGGAAAGAAGUUUGAAUUUAAGAAAGAAAGAAAGAAAGAAAGCUGUGAGAGAGAGAGAGAGAGAGAGAGAGAGGGAGGGAGGGAGGAAGGAAGGAAGGAAGGAAGGAAGGAAGGAAGGAAGGAAGGAAGGAAGGAAGGAAGGAAGGAAGGAAGGAAGGAAGGAAGGAAGAAGGAAGGAAGGAAGGAAGGAAGGAAGGAAAAGAAUGGAAGGAAGGAAGGAAGGAAGAAGAAAGGAAGGAAGGAAGUGAUUAUCUCAGCCCAUAGUUUUCAAGCAAUUAUGCCUCAAUGGAAGGAUUCAAAUACGUGUCACCUUGAAUCUAAGGUCAACUCAUUUUUCAUACUGUCAUAA
rnacentral:lncRNA from 1 species